AUUGAACGCUGGCGGCAGGCCUAACACAUGCAAGUCGAGCGGUAGAGAGAAGCUUGCUUCUCUUGAGAGCGGCGGACGGGUGAGUAAUGCCUAGGAAUCUGCCUGAUAGUGGGGGAUAACGUCCGGAAACGGACGCUAAUACCGCAUACGUCCUACGGGAGAAAGUGGGGGCUCUUCGGACCUCACGCUAUCAGAUGAGCCUAGGUCGGAUUAGCUAGUUGGUGGGGUAAAGGCUCACCAAGGCGACGAUCCGUAACUGGUCUGAGAGGAUGAUCAGUCACACUGGAACUGAGACACGGUCCAGACUCCUACGGGAGGAAGCAGUGGGGAAUAUUGGACAAUGGGCGAAAGCCUGAUCCAGCCACGCCGCGUGUGUGAAGAAGGUCUUCGGAUUGUAAAGCACUUUAAGUUGGGAGGAAGGGUCGUUACCUAAUACGUGACGAUUUUGACGUUACCGACAGAAUAAGCACCGGCUAACUCUGUGCCAGCCGCCGCCGUAAAAC
rnacentral:rRNA from 1 species